AAGGAAAAAAAAAGACCUAUGGAGGUGAUUAUUUUUUUCAAUAGGAUUAGCUGCUUCUAGUAGAUUUUUAUCCCAUGAUUAAUCUAGCUAAAUAGUAGUUAGGAUAUAACAUUAGAUUUUUAUUCCUGAGAUUGUCAAAUCCUACAGGAUCUGGGCCAAUCCUAUCAUUCCCAAACAGGUCCUUAGGGAUUUUGACCUAGUUGGUUAGCCUCGUAAGGUGGGAUUGUUUCAAUAGAUGGUGGGUCAGCUUUAUAAUUCUAGCAUAUAGUUUAGGAUCCAUUCUUUGGUGGAUAAAUAUUUUGAAAAAGUUGAUCAACUUUUCUAUUGAUAAAUUUAUCUAUAUUCUCAUAUUUUUCAAAAUGAAUAAGUUACUUUCCUAUGGAU
rnacentral:lncRNA from 1 species